rnacentral:rRNA from 1 species
ACGAACGCUGGCGGCGCGCCUAACACAUGCAAGUCGAACGAGAGAGAGGGAGCUUGCUUCCUUGAUCGAGUGGCGAACGGGUGAGUAACGCGUGAGGAACCUGCCUCAAAGAGGGGGACAACAGUUGGAAACGACUGCUAAUACCGCAUAAGCCCACAACCCGGCAUCGGGAAGAGGGAAAAGGAGCAAUCCGCUUUGAGAUGGCCUCGCGUCCGAUUAGCUAGUUGGUGAGGUAACGGCCCACCAAGGCGACGAUCGGUAGCCGGACUGAGAGGUUGAACGGCCACAUUGGGACUGAGACACGGCCCAGACUCCUACGGGAGGCAGCAGUGGGGAAUAUUGCACAAUGGGGGAAACCCUGAUGCAGCGACGCCGCGUGGAGGAAGAAGGUCUUCGGAUUGUAAACUCCUGUUGUUGAGGAAGAUAAUGACGGUACUCAACAAGGAAGUGACGGCUAACUACGUGCCAGCAGCCGCGGUAAAACGUAGGUCACAAGCGUUGUCCGGAAUUACUGGGUGUAAAGGGAGCGCAGGCGGGCGAUCAAGUUGGAAGUGAAAUCCAUGGGCUCAACCCAUGAACUGCUUUCAAAACUGGUCGUCUUGAGUAGUGCAGAGGUAGGCGGAAUUCCCGGUGUAGCGGUGGAAUGCGUAGAUAUCGGGAGGAACACCAGUGGCGAAGGCGGCCUACUGGGCACCAACUGACGCUGAGGCUCGAAAGUGUGGGUAGCAAACAGGAUUAGAUACCCUGGUAGUCCACACCGUAAACGAUGAUUACUAGGUGUUGGGAGAUUGACCCUCUCAGUGCCGCAGUUAACACAAUAAGUAAUCCACCUGGGGAGUACGACCGCAAGGUUGAAACUCAAAGGAAUUGACGGGGGCCCGCACAAGCGGAGGAACAUGUGGUUUAAUUCGAUGAUACGCGAGGAACCUUACCCGGGCUUGAAUUGCAGAGGAAGGAUUUGGAGACAAUGACGCCCUUCGGGGUCUCUGUGAAGGUGCUGCAUGGUUGUCGUCAGCUCGUGUCGUGAGAUGUUGGGUUAAGUCCCGCAACGAGCGCAACCCUUAUGGUCAGUUACUACGCAAGAGGACUCUGGCCAGACUGCCGUUGACAAAACGGAGGAAGGUGGGGAUGACGUCAAAUCAUCAUGCCCUUUAUGACUUGGGCUACACACGUACUACAAUGGCGUUAAACAAAGAGAAGCAAGACCGCGAGGUGGAGCAAAACUCAGAAACAACGUCCCAGUUCGGACUGCAGGCUGCAACUCGCCUGCACGAAGUCGGAAUUGCUAGUAAUCGUGGAUCAGCAUGCCACGGUGAAUACGUUCCCGGGCCUUGUACACACCGCCCGUCACACCAUGAGAGCCGGGGGGACCCGAAGUCGGUAGUCUAACCGCAAGGAGGACGCCGCCGAAGGUAAAACUGGUGAUUGGGGUG